ACCUGUUCCCAUUUCGAACACAGUAGUUAAGCAUCCACAGGCCGAAAGUACUUGGGGGGCAGCCCCCUGGGAGGAUAGGAUGUUGCCGGUU
rnacentral:rRNA from 1 species